UACGUAGGGGGCAAGCGUUAUCCGGAUUUACUGGGUGUAAAGGGAGCGUAGGCGGCUUAGUAAGUCAGAAGUGAAAGCCCGCAGCUCAACUGCGGGACUGCUUUUGAAACUGCCAAGCUAGAGUACGGCAGAGGCAAGUGGAACUACAUGUGUAGCGGUAAAAUGCGUAAAUAUAUGUAAGAACACCGGUGGCGAAGGCGGCUUGCUGGGCCUGUACUGACAUUGAGGCACGAAAGCGUGGGGAGCAAACAGG
rnacentral:rRNA from 1 species